rnacentral:tRNA from 15 species
GGGGGUAUAGCUCAGCUGGGAGAGCGCUUGCAUGGCAUGCAAGAGGUCAGCAGUUCGAUCCUGCUUAUCUCCACCA